AUGAACUCCACAUGUGAAGAUAGAAAUGGAGGACAUAACCUGCGUUCAGACUACGAAGAUGUUGAAGCUCCCAAUUACGAACCCAUACAGGAUGGCUUGGAGGACAGUCAAGGUGAAAAUAUGAGGAGAACAAGGGGAGGAAGCAAGCUCCCUGCAUAUUACAAACAAUUGAGGCAUGCGAAUAUAGCAGAAAAUAGGAGGAAGCUGGAAGCUCUUAUAGAACUGAAAAGGAAUUUAGCAUUGGUAGAAAAGAUGAGACAUGUUGAGGAAGUAGGAAAUUAG
rnacentral:rRNA from 1 species